UACGGAGGGGGUUAGCGUUGUUCGGAAUGACUGGGCGUAAAGCGCGCGUAGGCGGAUCAUCAAGUCGGGGGUGAAAUCCCGGGGCUCAACCCCGGAAUGGCCUUCGAGACUGCUGGUCUUGAGUUCGAGAGAGGUGAGUGGAAUUCCGAGUGUAGAGGUGAAAUUCGUAGAUAUUCGGAGGAACACCAGUGGCGAAGGCGGCUCACUGGCUCGACACUGACGCUGAGGUGCGAAAGCGUGGGGAGCAAACAGG
rnacentral:rRNA from 1 species